AUUGAACGCUGGCGGCGUGCCUAAUACAUGCAAGUCGAACGAAGUGGGCACGGGUGAGUAAUAUAUAGUUAAUCUCCCUACACAGAGGACAACAGUUGAGAACGACUGCUAAACCUAUAGUGAAGGAAGAGACUAUAACGUAUCAGCUAGUUGGUAAGGUAAUGGCUUACCAAGGCUAGGACCCGUAACUGGUCUGAGAGGAUGAUCAGUCACAUGGGAACUGAGACACGGUCCAAACUCCUACGGGAGGCAGCAGUCGGGAAUCUUCGGCAAUGGACGAAAGUCUGACCGAGCAACGCCGCGUGUGUGAAGAAGGUUUUCGGAUCGUAAAACUCUGUUGUUAGUGAAGCGGUACCUAACCAGAAAGCCACGGCUAACUACGUGCCAGCAGCCGCGGUAAUUC
rnacentral:rRNA from 1 species